rnacentral:lncRNA from 9 species
AGCGUGGGGAUAGGCUGAGCACCAGCAGUGCCAGCUCCUAGCUGCACCGGCUUGGAUGGGAUGCUUACCUUGCUAAGCUGGGCAUCCUCAGCCUUAAAAGGGAGCCGGGGAAAGUGACCGGUGGGUUAGUGGCAGGGAUUGCAUGGACUUGGGUGUGCCCUCUCCAUGGCAUCUAGCCAGGGGCAAAGGACUGGCAUCCUCGGGAGAUGCUGAAGGAAGAUAAGGAUGCCCGGAGCAGAAGACGGGGGCUGGGCCCCCGCAGAUGGAGGUGCAUCUCAGGCUGGUGAAAACAAGAAGCACAGAAGAAAGCAAUUGAGAGAGGGCACAGAAGCCCCGGCACUGGCUCUGGGUGAGCAGGCAUUCUGCCAAGCGCGGCUCUUCCGCUCUCUUCCGCUCGGCUGUAAGGACAGUGACCACGAGCCUCCCUCCCGGCCCCGCCGCCAUCCCCGUUGGCUGGGAGCAGGGCAGGCCUGCUGUCUCGCCCUGCUAUUCCUUCCGACACGUCCAUUCAAGCUCCUGGCCUAGUGCCCGUGCCCGUGGUGCUGAGAGAAGGGAUGGAGACGCAGCUCCGCCCGGGAGGACAGGAGCCAGGGCAGAGGAGGCGGGUGAGCCAAGGCAGGGUUAUGUGGGGGGUGGGGGUGGGGGGGACGCGGGUUCCCCCCAUGAGUUUCUGCGGGAUGCUGACCCACCCAGCCCAGCCCUCGGCCUCCAGCACCCCCUCCUGUGGGCAGGGCUUCCUCUGCCCACACCUCCUCCACUCCCUCUCGUCUCCCCUGCGGCUCCUGCUGCAGCCCCUCGGCCUGCCCUGAUGGACAACCAGCCGGCACGGGUGAGGCCGCCCUCCUUGCUGGCGCUGUGACAGUGGGUGUGUAAGUACCCUCCCCAGGGACACUCUGCUCACGUACGUAUGUGACAGCCACUACCCCACCGUGGGCUGUGCACCCCGGGCCACCUCCCAUGCUGCAUAGUGAGGCUGUCUCGUAACGCGGCCCCUGCUGGCAGGGUCUAGACAGGCUGCCCUACUCAGCCCUGCAAACCCUGGCCUAGCUGUGGGCUGACCAGGCCUUGUCACCCCCUACCCCCAUCUGCCUGGCCACAGCUUGCUCUGCUGGCCCUGCAACCGUGCUUGUUCCCCAGGCCUGGCUUGCAGGCCGCUGUGAACACCAACAGGAGACUUCAGACACCUGCUUAAUCGCAGCUGUGAGCGGCUCCUUCCCAGGCACGGGCUCCAAGCCCAGGCCUUUCUUCUCCAGGCCUGAGGCCCUUGUGUGAUGCCUUUGAAGACCGGGCUUUGUCUGGAAGGAGGCACGACCCCUGCCCCAGCCCUGGAUGCAGGAACCGCCCAGGCCUCCGGGUUUCUCUUCCUGGAACCCUCCACGGCUCCCUCGUGCUGCUGAGUGGGGAUGAGAUGGGGCCUUAGGGGGACCUGACCCUGCUCAGCCCUGCCUGUUAAGGGGGACAGCUGCCUCCACCACCGAGAAGGCCGAGGAAGCGCCUCCAGCUCCCACGAGGAGUGGGACCUCGGGGACAUGUGCUCCAGCCUCCGCGCGUCAGCCAGACGCAUGCUCCCAGGCUCCGUGGGCAGGACCGGGCAGGGCGAGGGAGGAGGACGGAGGAGGGACCCACUGGACCCAGUGGCUCUCAUCUUCUUCUCGUAUCAGGCCUCCUGGGGGGCCUCCGGUCUUUGUGAAGUCCGCAUCUUGAUGCUUCAAUCCAGAGUCUGAAAGAGGAGCGCUGGGGGGAGAAGAUGCUGGGUUACCCCGUCAGUGUGCGCCGACUGGGCGCAAGAGGCCCCCGCACGCCAGCUCCGUGCCC